CACACACCGAGGCCAUGCUGCCAGCCACCAGCAUCGGCCCUUCCCCUCCUCAGUGUGUCUACCCACACAAGCCAGAGCUGACUUCACCUUCAUUUCUUACCAGCGAACCCCCAAUGACGAAAGCAGGCAUGAACUGUGGGCUUGUCGUCCACUUGGUCUGCUUCCAUGGGUAGAGCCCACGGUCCAGCUAGGGGAUCCAGGAACGAGACCUUGCUGACGCUUCACCUCUCUCCCCGUCGCACCGUUUCCCCCCACUCGCCAGAGGAAGCCCCAGCACGGAGGUGGAGGCCCAGCCACUAGCCCUGCUUGGGAAGGAAGCAGGAGGGAGACGGCCGGGAGGUUGGCGAGAGUCGGCAGCAACGUUACCUGCUUCCCGGCUGGGGUGGGACACUUCUGCCGGCAAGGAAGAGGAGCUCUGCUCUUCCACUUCUCGGAGUAGUGUUUCAUGGUUGGGAGGUACCAAAUAACUCCCGUAAAAUGCUGUCCCAGGUAUGCUCUGCUUCACACUGCUGAUGGGACAGGAACUUUGGUAUUUCUGCAAAAUCCUUACUGUCUUGUCCAAAACAAUAAAAUAAAC